AAAGAAACCAACAGGGAUUGCCCUAGUAACGGCGAGUGAAGCGGCAACAGCUCAAAUUUGAAAUCUGGCCCUCGGGUCCGAGUUGUAAUUUGUAGAGGAUGCUUUUGGUGAGGUGCCUUCCGAGUUCCCUGGAACGGGACGCCAUAGAGGGUGAGAGCCCCGUCUGGUUGGAUACCGAGCCUCUGUAAAGCUCCUUCGACGAGUCGAGUAGUUUGGGAAUGCUGCUCUAAAUGGGAGGUAUAUGUCUUCUAAAGCUAAAUACCGGCCAGAGACCGAUAGCGCACAAGUAGAGUGAUCGAAAGAUGAAAAGCACUUUGAAAAGAGAGUUAAAAAGUACGUGAAAUUGUUGAAAGGGAAGCGCUUAUGACCAGACUUGGGCUUGGUUGAUCAUCCUGGGUUCUCCCUGGUGCACUCUUCCAGUUCAGGCCAGCAUCAGUUCGCUGCGGGGGAUAAAAGUUUUGGGAAUGUGGCUCCCUCGGGAGUGUUAUAGCCCAUUGCAUAAUACCCUGCUCCGGACUGAGGUUCGCGCAUCUGCAAGGAUGCUGGCGUAAUGGUCAUCAGCGACCCGUCUUGAAACACGGACCAAGGAGUCGUCUUCGUAUGCGAGUGUUCGGGUGUUAAACCCCUACGCGUAAUGAAAGUGAACGCAGGUGAGAGCUUCGGCGCAUCAUCGACCGAUCCUGAUGUUCUCGGAUGGAUUUGAGUAAGAGCAUACGGGGCCGGACCCGAAAGAAGGUGAACUAUGCCUGUAUAGGGUGAAGCCAGAGGAAACUCUGGUGGAGGCUCGCAGCGGUUCUGACGUGCAAAUCGAUCGUCAAAUAUGGGCAUGGGGCGAAAGACUAAUCGAACCUUCUAGUAGCUGGGUUUCCGCCGAAGUUUCCCUCAGGA
rnacentral:rRNA from 1 species